UCUUACAUCUGGUAGGAGACUUAUGCGGAUCAAACCGCGUAGCCAGGAGAACUGGCAUUGGACUCCUUUAAAGGAGAAAACAAAUG
rnacentral:ncRNA from 1 species